rnacentral:lncRNA from 1 species
UUUUUUUAAAAAAGGUCAUAUAUGCUAUCUUAAAAAGGAAAAUCUUUGCACGGCUUUGCUAUUUAGAUAGAGCAAGGCCACACAAUAAGCUAGCACUCGGCACGUUCGAUCUAUGCAAAAGGUGGCCGGACUGCCCACCAAGUGUUGUCGCAGCCGGAAUGGAAGUUUUUGCACACGUAAUAUAACAAAACAUGAAACCCUACAAGACAUCAUCAAGCCCCCGUUAAUAGAACCCUAAAAAAGAAAGGAUAAAAAAAAANAAAAAAAAAAAAAAACUUUACCGAGAAAGGAAUGACAGGUAGAUGCUGACGGCGAAGAAGAGGAAAGGUGAAGGUUACAUAGAAAGCCCCUCCUUCUCGUCCUAUUUAUAGAAGCUUUAGGGACCUAGCUUUGGU